AUCGUGCUUCUUUCUCUUCAACAGCUUCAUGACUUUCUUUGCAAUCCUGAGCUGCUGAGCAACUGAGCGAUUCCCCAGCGAACUACUUGGCAUCUCCAUCCGGGGUGUUGGUCCAUUCAACAAUGAUACGGUCGUUUAAACGAUCUUCGUACCAUACUGGAAAACUCAGACUGAAGAUUAUGGCAAAACCUUCUCUAUUUAUGCAAAUUCUUAUCACUGUACUACUUCUAUAACAAAUAAACGUGAGGUCACUUCACAUAAAAAAUAAAGGAUUAAACUAU
ensembl:lincRNA linc-55 ncRNA